UAACUUAUCAGGUAAGGUGAAGCUCGUUUCGAUCUGUGGUUACCUUCGGAAGUUCAACAGGUUUCCAGGAGAAUCGCGAUGAUGGUCAGGGCUGGCAGUAUUCUGAAGCUCGCCGCACUGAUUUUUGCAUUCCUCCUAGCUGUCUU